UACGUAGGGCGCAAGCGUUGUCCGGAAUUAUUGGGCGUAAAGAGCUCGUAGGCGGCCUGUUGCGUCCGCUGUGAAAUCCCGGGGCUCAACCCCGGGCCUGCAGUGGAUACGGGCAGGCUAGAGGUAGGUAGGGGAGAAUGGAAUUCCCGGUGUAGCGGUGAAAUGCGCAGAUAUCAGGAGGAACACCGGUGGCGAAGGCGGAUCUCUGGGCCAUUACUGACGCUGAGGAGCGAAAGCGUGGGGAGCGAACAGG
rnacentral:rRNA from 1 species